rnacentral:rRNA from 1 species
AACGCUAGCUACAGGCUUAACACAUGCAAGUCGAGGGGCAGCAUGAACUUAGCUUGCUAAGUUUGAUGGCGACCGGCGCACGGGUGAGUAACGCGUAUCCAACCUUCCGUACACUCAGGAAUAGCCUUUCGAAAGAAAGAUUAAUACCUGAUGGUAUGAUGAGAUUGCAUGAAAUCAUCAUUAAAGAUUCAUCGGUGUACGAUGGGGAUGCGUUCCAUUAGAUAGUAGGCGGGGUAACGGCCCACCUAGUCGACGAUGGAUAGGGGUUCUGAGAGGAAGGUCCCCACAUUGGAACUGAGACACGGUCCAAACUCCUACGGGAGGCAGCAGUGAGGAAUAUUGGUCAAUGGACGAGAGUCUGAACCAGCCAAGUAGCGUGAAGGAUGACUGCCCUAUGGGUUGUAAACUUCUUUUAUAAGGGAAUAAAGUGAGGGACGUGUCCCUCUUUGUAUGUACCUUAUGAAUAAGGAUCGGCUAACUCCGUGCCAGCAGCCGCGGUAAUACGGAGGAUCCAAGCGUUAUCCGGAUUUAUUGGGUUUAAAGGGAGCGUAGGUUGACAUAUAAGUCAGCUGUGAAAGUUUACGGCUCAACCGUGAAAUUGCAGUUGAUACUGUAUGUCUUGAGUGUACAAGAGGUGGGCGGAAUUCGUGGUGUAGCGGUGAAAUGCUUAGAUAUCACGAAGAACUCCGAUUG